ACUGAAUCGACAGCUGACCUUAGUCAGAGGAGCUGGGUGGGGCCUGAUACGGGUUACCCUUUGAGGCUGAGGUUUUUAGGCUGAUUAGAUACUGCUGCUGCUGCUGCUGCUGCUGGAAAAAACAGUGACCCAGUCCACCUCUCCUAUUCCCCAACAUUAUGAAGUCUGCUUUCAGUCUUCCUCACUCAGAAACUGUCUUUGCUGCAUUCAUCAGUAGCCUCUUCAUUGAGAAAGCAGCUGGGCCCCGUAGAGUCUCUUCACAGGCACGGCUGUUGAUUAUUUCACCUGACAUGCUGCCAUCUAGGCCUCCCCAACAGCACUCUGACCUGGUUUUGCAAGGAGCUUCUCAGACCACUAAACCCCUUUCCCAUGUCAGAGCCUCCUUUUAAGUCCCCCAAACAUAGGAGUUGCUAAGUGUUCUGAUGCUGAUCCCACUGCCUCCCUUCCAUCUAGAAUCUUGCUCCUCAAUGUGGUCUUUCUGGACAAGUAGGAUUGGCUUCCUUGAGAGCCUGUUAGAAAUGCAGACUCUUAGGUCUACCCUGGACUUCCUGUAUCAGAAGCUGCAUUUUAAUUUAGAUCCGCAAGUGACUCAUCUGC
ensembl:lncRNA